rnacentral:rRNA from 1 species
CAGUAGCCGCGGUAAUACGUAGGUGGCAAGCGUUGUCCGGAAUUAUUGGGUGUAAAGCGCGUCUAGGUGGUUAUGUAAGUCUGAUGUGAAAAUGCAGGGCUCAACUCUGUAUUGCGUUGGAAACUGUGUAACUAGAGUACUGGAGAGGUAAGCGGAACUACAAGUGUAGAGGUGAAAUUCGUAGAUAUUUGUAGGAAUGCCGAUGGGGAAGCCAGCUUACUGGACAGAUACUGACGCUAAAGCGCGAAAGCGUGGGUAGCAAACAGGAUUAGAUACCCCUGUAGUCCCUGUCUCUUAUACA